AGAAAGAAAUCAAACCUUCGAAAUUUCGUGGACUGCCGCCAGACCCACCCAUUCGAAAUCCCACACUCGCUUCAACCUCUCGUUGCUGCAGGUACCGCCGCCCACGUCUGUCGCCGUCGAUCAACGCCGCCACUUCAAUCUAUCGUCUGCAGGUCGCCGUCCACCGCGCGGCUGUCGACUGCAGGUGUUUCCGUUUCUCCCUGUCUCACUGUGUCCCGCCGCCGCCGCGAUCGUCGAUGGUUUCACCUCCGCCACGUCGCUGCUGUUCUUAGCCGCCAGUGUGGUUUUGGGUGUUAGGAAUUGAGAACGAUUGGCGAGUUUUUGGUGAAUUUGGGUUCUUGUUUAUUUGGGUCUUAGAUUCGAGUUUUGGUGGUUGUUAGCGUUGUAUUUCAAAGUUCAAGAGUGUGUGGUUCGUUUUUGGUAAGAAGUAAGGCUUUGAAACCAUUUGGAUUUAAUAUUCCUUGUUGGAAAUUUGGUUUAUAAUCCUUAGUAUUGAAUUUUGCAUAGGUUGGAUUCAUUGUUUGGAGUUUGGAAGAGGAUUUGAAUUUAGCUACACUUUGAGUAAGAGUUGUUUGGAGACUUUUGGAAUACACUUAUGUUUGGAAUUAGACCUUAAAUGUUAAAUAUUAAAUUUGGUUUAUGUUAUAGGGUUUAAUAAGGUUUCUAGAGACACUUGGAAGAGGAUUUGGAUUUAGCUACACUUUGAGGUUUAAUUCAAGGUUUCUAGAGAGUCUUGUUUGCUUGGAUAAUAACACGUUUGGGCAUAAUUUCGAGAACCAAGGACACCACAAUCAUAUUUGUUCUCAUCGUGACUGAGUUGACGACCAAGCCAAGCUUCAUUCCAGGUUGUUUUCCAUUUUGUAUUUACAUUGACGACGAUCAAAUUCUAUAUAGUUUCACCUUUGUUUCACAGCAUAAAUGGAGGAGCGGGACCUAGAACUUGUUUCUGCCAUUAACGAACUCGACGAUCAGUCAUUCCUCUCGCUUUGCUUUGGUCCUUCAGUGUCCAUCAGGACUUGGCUUCUCAACAACGCUGAGAGGUUCCAAUUAAGGCCAUCAUUGUUAUUCACUGUUUUCCUAGGGUUUACGAAAGAUCCGUAUCCAUAUGUUAGGAAAGCUGCUCUUGAUGGCCUAUUAGGUUUGGGGAACACUGUUCUUGAGGAUGGUAGCAUGAUUGAAGGUUGCUAUUGCCGCUCUAUUGAACUUCUAAACGACAUGGAGGAUUGUGUUAGGUCAGCUGCAGUUUCUGUUGUCAUAACUUGGGGUCUAAUGCUUGCGGCACAUAGUCCAGGGAGGAAACAACAUUUGUCUGAUGAAAUAUUUGUGAAUCUAUGUUCCAUGACGAGAGAUAUGAACAUGAAGGUCAGGGUUAAUGCAUUUGAUGCAAUGAAGAGGCUGGAAAUUGUUUCCGAGGAUCUUCUUUUACAAAGUGUGUCCAAGAGAGUCUUGAGUAUCUUCAAGGGUAAAAAAUCUCUUGUUCAAUGCUCUACCGAGCAAUUGGAAAUGUCAGCGUUGGAUGUUGCUGGGGCUUUUGUGCAUGGUGUAGAAGAUGAAUUCUAUCAGGUGCGCAGGUCUGCCUGCGAUGCUUUAUUUAAUUUGACCAUCCUAUCAACUAAAUUCGCUGGCGAGGCCUUAAGCCUAUUGAUGGACCUCCUGAAUGAUGAUUCAGUUUCUGUCCGCUUGCGAGCUUUGGAAACAUUACAUCAUAUGGCGAUGUGCAAUUGUUUGAAAUUGCAAGAAGCGCAUAUGCACAUGUUUCUCAGUGCUUUAAAUGACAAUGAUGGUCAUGUAAGAUCUGCUUUAAGGAAACUUCUUAAAGUAGCAAAGCUACCAGAUUUGGUGACAUUUCAAUUGUCUUUUAAUGGUCUUCUUGAAAGUUUAGAAUCAUACCCGCAGGAUGAGUCUGAUGUGCUCUCUGUGCUAUUUCAUAUGGGUCAGAAUCAUGUAAAUAUGGUCGACUCCAUUAUCAAGGAUGUUUUUGAACAGAUAGACCCAACAUCUGAAGGAAAACUUGGAUUUGAUAGUGCGAAGGUGAUUGCAUACAUUGUUCUAGCUAUUUCGGCUCCCGUUUCAGACAAUCAUACUCGUAGGAUUCCACCAAGAAUAUUUUCUUAUGCAGCUACAAUGCUUGGAAGGAUCUCUCAUGCUUUGGGUGACAUUAUGGAUCAAACCACCGUUUUUGCUUACUUGCUGCAAAACAGUAAACACAUUGGAUUAUCUGAUCUGGGGUUUAAUCCAGAGGGAGACCCAUGCUCACCUACACCUGGAAAUUCUGUCAACGAUAUGCCUGCCAUUGCCUCCCUUAAGAUACCUGCAAUGAUACAUGAGCAGCGGCAGAAAGAUGAUGAUGCCAUAGAAUCUAUCAAGACUAUCCUCUUAAAGGUGCAAGAUAUUUGGCCACUAAUUCAAUCCGGAGGUUUGCAUGAAGCUUUGAGGACUUUGAGGUUCUGCAAGGAAACAUUGGGAAUAUUCACGUAUCGAACAGACAGAUACAGUGGUGCUUUAGCUUUUACAUUGCAGUAUCUCAAGAUAAUGAAACUUAUUGCAGAGGUAUGGAAAUUGAUGUCCUCGAAACAUAGUUGUCCUCGUAGAAUUGGAGAAUGGGGAUUCCUAUUAGGAAAGCUAGAAAGGAGGCUGAAAGAGUUGAGAAGUAGAUUCAUUGGAUUCUCUAAAGAAGAAGAACGACAUAUCUUAGAACUGAUGCUGGUCACUUGUACACUCAGGUUGUCAAGUGGAGAAGUUUGUUGUCAUCUUACAAUUCUGAGAAAGUUGUCUACCAUAGCUACCAACAUAGAACAUCUCCUUAAGGAAGAAUGUAAAGAGCCAUCAACUUUUGUUUGUGAAGUUCAAAGAUCAUUGUCGAACUUAGGCAGGAUUACUCCUAAAGCUCAUUGCAGUUCACCUGAUUUUAGAAAACUGCUCAAAUCUUUCACCCUUAACCAUCUAGAAAUUUCAGAAAACCUUGAGCACGUCAAGGCAGAACUAGUCGUUUUGGAUAACGACUAUGAGAAACCCCUUUAUUUUGUUCCAGGACUACCUGUUGGUAUUCCUUGCCAAAUCAUCCUGCACAAUGUUCGAAGUAAGAGGAAGUUGUGGUUUAGAAUCACGAUGGAUAACAUGACAAGUCAGUUUAUCUUUUUGGAUUUCCUUUCCUUAGGAGGUUGUGAUGAGGUUAGAGAAUUUACGUACAUUGUUCCGUUCUAUAGAACCCCAAAAGCUUCUUCUUUUAUAGCUAGGAUUUGUAUAGGACUUGAAUGUUGGUUUGAGAAUACUGAAGUUAAUGAACGUUGUGGAGGUCCAAAACGUGAUCUAGCAUACAUUUGCAAAGAGAAGGAAGUUUAUUUCUCCAUGAUCCACAAAGGUUGAUUUCGUGUAGGGUUCAUUUAAAAUUAGUCUCUGAAAUAUUGAGCAUGUGAGGAUGGCUACGAAUAUGUUAUGAAGAUAUGAUCAAAAUUAGCCAUAUCAACCCUAGCCUAUUUAUUCCUUAUGGUUCAAAUACUCACUCAUCCUGCUCAUAUCUUGGAUACCCGAACAUAUGCAUAUUGGCCAUUCUUUUUGAAAGAAGAAAAAAGGUCAUAUCGUUCUUUAGAGAUUCAUUAAGCGUGGUUAUAAGCUUAAACAACGUAGCCGUGCGAGCGAAUAAUUGGUGCAAGAUUUGGAUCCCAGGUAUGUGGAAUAGCGUAGCUAAAUUACUCACUCCCGAACUCUGAAUAGAAAGAAAUAUGGAAAUUAUUAAUAUUCAGUACAAGAAUGGCUCAGUUAUGUACAUACAAGUUUUAAAUGCAGUGUAUUUUUAUUCAGACUUCAAUAUCAUAUCCGUAGGUUUAUUUUAUUCUAUUAUUUUGAUUGGUAUAUAGAAACGUAUGAAGCUCCACUUUUUAGGUGUUAACAGAAAUUUUAUACGUGUAUAUAUAUAUUCCUUCUCUUGAAA